AGCCGGGAGGCCCCACCACUACCCAUGUCUCUCGCUGCCCAUUACACAGUUCUGGAAGCCAAAGGCACCGCUGAAUUCCCCCAAUCCAGCGCAGGCUAACUCCACCCAAAUCCACUGCAAGUCGUCGCUGCCCAAAUCCACCAGGUCCAUCACCACGCCCAAAUCCAAUCCAUGGCGGAAAUUGAAGGGGCGCGGGCUGCCGGAGUUCGGUGGUGCUCGUGGUGCUGGAGGAGCACGCGCGCGGCGACAGAGCACCACAAGAGGGGCGAAGGAUCGGGGUGAAGGUCGCUAGCGACACUACGAGUUCCGGCAAGCGAGGAGGCUGUUCGCUGGUUAAAAUCGCGAGCUCACAGGCCGUGGGUGCUGGCGGCGGUUCUAUGACGGAGGCGCGAGAUGAUGCGAUGGAGUGCGCGCGGGAGCGUAGUUGGGUGCGCUCUAUCUCCAUCUCAAGGAGGCGGGUGAAGGUCGUGGCGACGCUGCGUUUCCGGCGAGCAAGGAGCGGACUCGCUGCAGAAAUCCCGAGAUGCCGGAGCCCAGGAGCCAGACGCCACCUUCGACGACUCCUACUACACCGGAGG